AUUGAACGCUGGCGGCAUGCCUUACACAUGCAAGUCGAACGGCAACAGGUCUUUGGGUGCUGCCGCGUGUCGAACGGGGGAGUAAUACACCUGAACGCGUCCACACGUGGGGGGUAACGAGGCGAAAGCUCUGGUAAUAUCGCACACGAGCUAAGGAUGAGAGCGGGGGAGAGCAAGGCCCCGCGCGGUUGUAGCGCCGGAUGGGUGAUUAGGUAGUUGGUGGGAUAAAAGCUUACCAAGCCGACGAUCUGUAGCUGGUCUGAGAGGACGACCAGCCACACUGGGACUGAGACACGGCCCAGACUCCUACGGGAGGCAGCAGUGGGGAAUUUUGGACAAUGGGCGAAAGCCUGAUCCAGCAAUGCCGCGUGCAGGAUGAAGGCCUUCGGGUUGUAAACUGCUUUUGUACGGAAAGAAAAGGCUCUGGCUAAUACCUGGGGCACAUGACGGUACCGUAAGAAUAAGCACCGGCUAACUACGUG
rnacentral:rRNA from 1 species